rnacentral:rRNA from 1 species
GCGGAAGGAUCAUUAUCGUAACAAAAAGCGUAAGAGGGUGCUCCAAGGGCUGUCGCCGACUCGAAAGGGUCGUUGCACGCCUGAAGGGCGUCCUCUUGCGUGAAAUCCACCUCACCCCUUUUGUGCACCACCGCGUGGGCUUUCCUCCUCGAGGGGGCUCGCGUUUUUCACACAAACACCCUUUGUAAACGUCUCGUAGAAUGUCCUCAUUUUGUUUGCGUUGACGCGCGAUCAAUACAACUUUCAACAACGGAUCUCUUGGCUCUCGCAUCGAUGAAGAACGCAGCGAAAUGCGAUACGUAAUGUGAAUUGCAGAAUUCAGUGAAUCAUCGAAUCUUUGAACGCACCUUGCGCCCCUUGGUAUUCCGAGGGGCACACCCGUUUGAGUGUCGUGAAAAUCUCAACCUCCUAGGUUUUCUUAGGAGGCUUGGACUUUGGAGGGCUUUGCUGGACUUUAAAAGGCCAGCUCCUCUCAAACGAAUUAGCGAGGUCCCCUUUGCCGAUCCUCGACGUGUGAUAAGACGCUUCCACGUCUCGGUCUUUGGCUCUGUCGCCUCUUGGGACCUGCUUCCAAUCGUCUCUUCUACGAGACAACGUUCGAGCUCGCCUCGACCACGUACCCUUGACCUCAAA